CCAACACCAACUUCAAGACCCCCAACACCAACUUUAAGACCCCCAACACCAACUUCAAGACCCCCAACACCAACUUUAAGACCCCCAACACCAACAACGCCAUCAAUCACAGCAACUCUCAUCACCACAACACCCACUGUUUGCAGACCUGCCAUUUGUGAGCUUCUAACGAGCAGUGUGUUUGAGCCUUGCUCCUCCAUUGUGUCACCUGAUGAUUUUAAGUCAUCCUGUGUAACUGAAAAUUGUGAUGGUAGUGGUCAUAUAUGUGACAGCCUGGAUGCUUAUGCAACACAGUGCGCUCACGAAGGUGUCUGUAUUGAUUGGAGAAAUUACACCAAUGGGCAAUGUGAGCACAAAUGUCCUGCCAACAAGGUAUACAAGGCCUGUGGUCCAAACGUGGAGCAGACAUGUAAUAACAGGUUAGUUAUUUCUCAGGUGAGAAUGUAUUUUAUUG